GAAAGAUGGUUCUGCUAUCACUCUUGGAUGGACCUGCGGUGCAUUAGCUAGUUGGUAAGGUAACGGCUUACCAAGGCAAUGAUGCAUAGCCGAGUUGAGAGACUGAUCGGCCACAUUGGGACUGAGACACGGCCCAAACUCCUACGGGAGGCAGCAGUAGGGAAUCUUCCACAAUGGACGAAAGUCUGAUGGAGCAACGCCGCGUGAGUGAAGAAGGGUUUCGGCUCGUAAAGCUCUGUUGGUAGUGAAGAAAGAUAGAGGUAGUAACUGGCCUUUAUUGACGGUAAUUACUUAGAAAGUCACGGCUAACUACGUGCCAGCAGCCGCGGUAAUACGUAGGUGGCAAGCGUUGUCCGGAUUUAUUGGGCGUAAAGCGAGUGCAGGCGGUUCAAUAAGUCUGAUGUGAGAGCCUUCGGCUCAACCGGAGAAUUGCAUCAGAAACUGUUGAACUUGAGUGCAGAAGAGGAGAGUGGAACUCCAUGUGUAGCGGUGGAAUGCGUAGAUAUAUGGAAGAACACCAGUGGCGAAGGCGGCUCUCUGGUCUGCAACUGACGCUGAGGCUCGAAAGCAUGGGUAGCGAACAGGAUUAGAUACCCUGGUAGUCCAUGCCGUAAACGAUGAGUGCUAAGUGUUGGGAGGUUUCCGCCUCUCA
rnacentral:rRNA from 1 species